rnacentral:rRNA from 1 species
GACGAACGCUGGCGGCGUGCCUAAUACAUGCAAGUAGAACGCUGAAGAGAGGAGCUUGCUCUUCUUGGAUGAGUUGCGAACGGGUGAGUAACGCGUAGGUAACCUGCCUUGUAGCGGGGGAUAACUAUUGGAAACGAUAGCUAAUACCGCAUAACAAUGGAUGACACAUGUCAUUUAUUUGAAAGGGGCAAUUGCUCCACUACAAGAUGGACCUGCGUUGUAUUAGCUAGUAGGUGAGGUAAUGGCUCACCUAGGCGACGAUACAUAGCCGACCUGAGAGGGUGAUCGGCCACACUGGGACUGAGACACGGCCCAGACUCCUACGGGAGGCAGCAGUAGGGAAUCGUCGGCAAUGGGGGCAACCCUGACCGAGCAACGCCGCGUGAGUGAAGAAGGAUUUCGGAUCGUAAAGCUCUGUUGUAAGUCAAGAACGGGUGUGAGAGUGGAAAGUUCACACUGUGACGGUAGCUUACCAGAAAGGGACGGCUAACUACGUG